rnacentral:tRNA from 3 species
GUCUAUAUAGAUUAUUUUAAAAUCAUGAUGCUGUUAACUUCAAGAAAGGAGAUUCCUUAUAGUCG